rnacentral:rRNA from 1 species
CCUACGGGUGGCUGCAGUGGGGAAUAUUGCACAAUGGGCGCAAGCCUGAUGCAGCCAUGCCGCGUGUGUGAAGAAGGCCUUCGGGUUGUAAAGCACUUUCAGCGGGGAGGAAGGCGUUAAGGUUAAUAACCUUGGCGAUUGACGUUACCCGCAGAAGAAGCACCGGCUAACUCCGUGCCAGCAGCCGCGGUAAUGCGGAGGGUGCAAGCGUUAAUCGGAAUUACUGGGCGUAAAGCGCACGCAGGCGGUCUGUCAAGUCGGAUGUGAAAUCCCCGGGCUCAACCUGGGAACUGCAUUCGAAACUGGCAGGCUAGAGUCUUGUAGAGGGGGGUAGAAUUCCAGGUGUAGCGGUGAAAUGCGUAGAGAUCUGGAGGAAUACCGGUGGCGAAGGCGGCCCCCUGGACAAAGACUGACGCUCAGGUGCGAAAGCGUGGGGAGCAAACAGGAUUAGAUACCCGUGUAGUC